rnacentral:rRNA from 1 species
CACGUAGGGGGCAAGCGUUGUCCGGAUUUAUUGGGCGUAAAGAGCUCGUAGGCGGCUUGGUAAGUCGGGUGUGAAACCUCCAGGCUCAACCUGGAGACGCCACUCGAUACUGCUAUGGCUAGAGUCCGGUAGGGGAGCGUGGAAUUCCUGGUGUAGCGGUGAAAUGCGCAGAUAUCAGGAGGAACACCAGCGGCGAAGGCGGCGCUCUGGGCCGGAACUGACGCUGGGGAGCGAAAGCGUGGGGAGCAAACAGG